UGAGCUCUUGUCAGGUUCAGUAGCACAUCAUAAUUCUGCUUAAACUUCUCAAACUCUGCAUCUUUCUUUGCCAUCUGUGCAUUCAUAUCAGCCACCAGCUCACUUCUGCAUUCAUGUUGAUAUGUAAUGGCAGACUGCAGAUGUCUGAAAUCCACCACCCUAUCCUCCUGGAAGCUCAUAAGCUGAUGCACAUCUUGGACUAGCUUGUCAUAGUUGGCCUCCAGGUUGUUCUUCUCUUCUGUCAGAUGGUGGAUAGUGAAAGAACUUUCAAGAUUGUCAUUCACCCUAGCACUUUUGGCAUCUUCAACCAUUGCCCAUAGCUUCAACAAUGCAUUCUGCAUUGUUGGGGGCCACUGGUGAUCAACCCAUUCAUCAAAGCCACAAUUGCUACCUUCCUGCAAAAACAACAACAACAACAACAACAAAACAGUUCAUACAUCAAGUAAUUACACAAAAUCACUGCAAUUGCCAAAAAGAAUGUCUAAAUUUAGCAUCAGACCACUACAUUUAACAAGAGGAGCAGCCACUUGAGUAGCUGACUGACUAGUUUAGUUACUGUACUGUUCAUAUCAAGGAGUGUUCAAAUAUUUGUAAGCUACUCUACUACCACUAUUAACAUAAAUUACUAUGUUAGCACCAGACCACUACAUUUAACAAGAGGAGAAGCCACUUGAGUAGCUGACUGACUAGUUUAGUUACUGUACUGUUCAUAUCAAGGAGUGUUCAAACAUUUGUAAGCUACUCUACUACCACUAUUAACAUAAAUUACUAUGCCAUUGUACUCCAGCAAAAUAUACUCAUGCUUGACCUAAAUAAGCUACUCUAACCACUAUGAACCAAAAUGUUGACAGCAAGCAAAGUACUCCAGCAAACAGAGUUCAAUAUGGCACUGACCAAGUAAGAAAAAAAUCAGUAUGCCUACAAUCCUACAAUCCAUACCGGCUGUGCACAUGCUAAAAACCUCCUGCCUGUGUCUGUUCCUUCAAAGGCAACAAGCCUCUCAGAUGCCAUGCCGUGCUUCUCACAUGGAGACAUCACAUCCAGCUCAAGCCCCUUGUAAUCUGGAUCUUCAAUGCUGAAAGGGACCUGCAGAAGCUCGCACAAAGACAAUGGCCAAAUCAAAACCUAGCGAUAUUAACCAAAUCAAGAAAUCCCAAAUCUGAAACCCUAACCCUAACCCUGUACUGACCUCGUUGAGACAGUCUGUGGAGGAAGACUGCAUGUACGGGAGGCUAGAAUGGUCGUCGCUGCUUUCGUCCUCCAAAACCAUGGCGUCGGCGGGGCGGUGCGGCGGCCGGCAGUCGGGACGCAGGCGGCGGCGACGGAGGAAACGAGCGAGGAGGAGGGGAGGGGAAUGGUGCGGCCGGGCUGGAGCUGGUGCGAUCGGACCAGGUUGGAGAGCAGCAGCGCACCGGCUCGUCCUAGUCAGCACACGCGCACGCGCGGGCACGCGCCGAUUGGCCAGCGUGGCACCUGACGGGUGGGCCCGAGCUGUCGGAUCGGGCGUCAAUACGUAUAAAUACGCGUUUUAGCCUAAUUUGCAAAAACUUACACCAAUGUUGGUACUGACACGCAAAAAUUAACAAUCAUGAUACCAAUCUGCAUGUGAUGCCCGAAUUGUGAUACUUCUGUGCAAUUAACUCCACUAAGCACAUCAGCACCAUUUGACAUGAUCCUCUCCAGCGCGUCCAACACAAAUCAACGAAAAACACAAAAUAUAAUGCCAAACAAUUUCACCACAGUUUUUUUAAGGGAAAUAUAAUAAUUUCAGAGGACUUUCUCAUCCUGGUGUAACGCACACCAAUCGUCUUCCAUCUGCCGGCCGUGCUAUCCAGUCCCAUGGCGCAAAUGGCGGGCACCUACCUCUCAAGCUUCCAUGCCACUGCCGCCGCAACUAGCGGCGGCGCGUCACCAAGGCCGAGGCCAAGAGUGGUGACAUGCCACGCCUCCGAGCCGUCGGGCCGGCGAUCAGCCUGCCUCAGUCUAGGCCUCGGCCUUGCCACCGCCGCUGUGCUCCACACAGCGCCCGCCCGCGCCACCGCUGCUGACGCCGACGAGGAGCCGGAGCCGGCCAACAACGGCUGGUGGCUCACCGAGUUCCCUCUGCCGGUGCCCAAGAUCCGCAACAGUACUACCGCUACACUUCCCAUACAUACUAUAUCACCUCAUCCUCAUGAUGCAUUUCAUUCCUAGAGAGAGAGAGGCCUCAACUGCUGAACUGAAACCAGCGCGGAUGAAUGUGGUGCAGAGGAGAUCAACAAUGGCGAGACAGGGACGCGAUCCUUUGUGAAGAACGGCAUCUACAUGGCAGACAUCGGGCCAAGCUUCGCGGCGCACGCCUACCGGGUGCGCAGCUCCGCAUUUGACCUGCUGGCGCUGGAGGACCUGCUCGGCAAGGAGGCCUCCAACUAUGUCAACAAGUACCUCCGCCUCAAGGCCACCUUCAUAUACUACGACUUCGACAAGCUCAUCACCGCCGCCGACCUCGACGCCAAGCCGCCGCUUCUCGGCCUAGCCAACCGCCUCUUCGACAGCUUCGAGAAGUUGCAGGCGGCUGUCACCACCAAGGAUGACGCUGACAUAGGAUCCUGUUAUGCUGACACAAAGCUCAUACUGCAGGAAGUCAUGACAAGAAUGGCCUAACCAGUAUCCAGGACAAACAGUUCUGUCAUGAACUGUAAAUUCUGCCUCAGACUCUAUCCAGGAUAGCCUCAGUGCGUUAUGUAAUGUGCAUUUGGUGAUACUGAGAAAUGACACGAUUCUAGUCGUGAAUGAAGAAUUGGUGGAGAUAGCACACAAGCAGGUCAAUGGAAUGCAUCUUCCCAGCAAUUAGUUAUUAAUACAAGCCAAGCGAUAAAAGGCUGAAUGCCAAUACACCUACAGAGCUCAACUACUAGUAGUACCAUCAGUCUACGCUAGAGUAGAGUAUCAAAGCCGAUACAGAUUAGAUAACUGAAAUGGAUAGGUCAGCACGCCACACCUGACUGUUAAUAUAAUCAUCAAGAACAAACAACAAAGCAAAUGAGAAUAUACAACCUCUAAAUGCGGUGCAAAUGAUGGAUUGCAUCCCUCAAUUAUCAACAAACAAACAACACACCUACAUUACUGAUGGCCCAUGGAUGGGAUGGGACUUGCCAGUGAAUUGACUGCAUAGACUCAUCCUUGUGACAAGCUGCGCAUUUGAGUCUGACGACGAGGGACGCCGAUCUCACAAGAGUUCACCCGAGCAGCAAAACGAAGAGAGCAAAUAGACUCGCUUGUAGAAGACACUUCCGGGGACAAGUUCACAAACAUUAGCGUUUUAGAGUCUCCACCCAAGCAUG
rnacentral:lncRNA from 1 species